GGUUAACGUUGGCAGUGUGCCUAACACAUGCAAGUCGAGCGAUAUAGCGGCAGACGAGAGAGUAAUAACAAGGAACUUGCCCCGAACUCAAGGAUAGCCCAGAGAAAUCUGGGGUAAACCUGGAUGGUCCCGCAAGGGUAAAGAUUUAUCGGUUCGGGAGAGGCCUUGUUCCUAUCAGCUAGUUGGUAAGGUAAUGGCUUACCAAGGCGAUGACGGGUAGCUGGUCUGAGAGGAUGACCAGCCUCGAUGGGACUGAGACACGGCCCAUACUCCUACGGGAGGCAGCAGUAGGGAAUUUUGCACAAUGGAGGCAACUCUGAUGCAGCAACACUGCGUGAAGGAUGAAGGUUUUCGGAUCGUAAACUCCUUUUGCGGGGGAAAAUAGCGGCGUGAAGAGCGCCGACUGAUGGUACUCCGCGAAUAAGCCACGGCUAACUUCGUG
rnacentral:rRNA from 1 species